CGAAUCCUUACAGCUUCGACUUCGAGUUCUUCAACCCGUUGGGCGUUGGUAGACUCAGACUGAGGGCAAGUUGUUUGAGACAUUUGCAGCUCCAUUCACAAAGUGGGGAUUAUUGCUCAAGUUCUUUAUAUUGAGAGGAGGUUCACCCUAGCUUGCAUACCUGAUCAGUUCCACUGCUUCAGGUGACAUCCUACCAAUUGUGAAGAGCCCUCAACUACCACCAAAGCUUGGCCCACGUGGCAAGAUCUAAUUUGCUUUGAGAUCCUUUUCUUUCAAGCUUUUCAUUAUAUGCAACUUAUUUUCAUUUUUUGAUCUUGUAAGACCCUCGACCAACUAUUCAAAUGAUAUUUAUUUUGGGUACAAUUUAUUGUUACUUUUCUGGUAAUCUUAUUCAGGUUCUUACACCUUUGUUAAGAUCCACAAGCAAGCAUAUAAAUCAUUAUGUUAUUGA